rnacentral:tRNA from 1 species
GGCUUUAUAAAAAUUCUGGUUGCAACCCAGAAAAUAAAAGUAGACCUUUUGAAAGCCU